rnacentral:tRNA from 1 species
GGGGAUGCGCCGGAGCUGGAGAGCCGGGCCAGACUGUAAAUCUGGUGUCUAUGACUGAAUGGGUUCGAUUCCAAUCAUCCCCA